GGGCAACAGAGUGCAUUCAGGAGAGCUGUUGGAAAAUAGUGCGUGCCAGGAGGGAGGGAAUGUGUUUGAGUGUGUGUUUUUGAAACAUCCUACAUGUGAAACGCCUCAUUGCUCAUGAAACCUGAGAUGGCCUCUCUUUCUAAGGACGGGGUGCCGUGUGUGAACUUUAGAAAUGUAUCUUUGGUGAAAAUGAAAAUCCUUCUGCAAGCAAUAAGAUAGAAUGCAUUAACCUGGGCUACAGUCUGUCUCUUCAUAGUCCAGAUGAGUUCCUUAGAGACACAAUUUUCUUACACUGAUUACACUCUUUCUUUGUUUGCCGAGACGGACAGCAGGACCAGGUGCUUGCAAAAAGUCCAUUCACCUAGAUCACAGGUUUGCGUGUGUGAGAUCCAACAGUGUUGUGCAACAGUCGAUUUUGUACACAAUGAAGAAUGUAACCCAAAGGAACACGCAGAGAGAAAGGCCCUAUCAGAAAAAAUACUUCUGACGGCAGUUCUGAGUGGAAUGAGAUCUGCCAUGUCUCUUUGUUGCACCCUCGAAGAAACCAACAGGAAGUUUUUGCAGAUGAAAAUGUCCUGGAAAAUGUCAGUGAGGGCCGCAGGGAAGGAUGCUGUGAAAGAGACAGAGAUAAAAAGACACCAAAAGCUGCUCUCACUGCCAAACUGCCAUUUUGGAUUGUAAAUCAAAAUGCCUUUCAACUGUCUUUAAAUGAUGUUUAUGUGAGUUUUGCUGUCCUUGCUAUCACGCCCCAUGGUUCUGUGCACCUCUGGGUUACGCACCUGCUGAAAUACACUAACACGUGCACGCACGCACUCACGCACGCACUCACACACACACAUAGUAAUGAAAACAGAAUUUACCUCCCAGCUUCAAUAGAGGAUCUGGCUCUGUUUUCUCUCACAUUAAAAUGUCACCAUCCCUUUCAACUGACUGCUGUUUUUGUUCCAACUCACUUGGCUUAUUGGGCCCAUUCAGUUUCAUAUCAAUGUUCCACUUUGUUUAAAAUGCACGUCCUCCAACAAUCAGUAAACGUCCUUUUAAGCCUUUUGUUAGCAUUAGUGAAAGAAAAGCAAUGUGUUAGCAAUUAGCAUGCUUGUCCUUACGGUAGAGUGUCCCCCCUGGUAGGCCUGGGGUUGACGUGCUUUGACAGCCAGGCUUACUGUGGCCUGGCCAGUGCUCUUGUGCUGUUUGAACAGGGAGGUGGAGACACCCUGAAUGCCUGCCGCUCAGCACUCGGCCAUAAUUCAAUUACACUGAGCUGGCCGCGGAGGCCAAGUGGAUAGCCUACACACACACACACACACACACACAGACACACAUACACACACACACAUAUACCUUUCCACUUAAACACUCCUGCAUGGCUUGCUAAUGACACAAUCGCACGACAGACACACGCAGUCCGUUGACCACACACUCACACACAGCAUGGCAUUGCUUUACAAGCACAUGACUUCAUACCACAGAAAGGUAGAUUACAACAGAUCCAGGCAGUUUGUGUGUGUCUGUCCUACAGCUAGGACUGUAGCAUGUACUGUCAUACAGCUUCUGUUCAAGCCAGACAUUUGUUUUGGUGGAAGCCAUUUUAGUUUCUAGUCUCCACCAUGUUGGUUGCCAGACUCUAAUUGAAUUAUCCCCCAGGUUGGUCAGCCAAGACCUGGGUACCAUUGGGAGCAUUGCGCUAAUGCAACAUCAGUGUCAUGCCAAAAUCCUGGUGUGUGUGACAAUCUGAGAUAGAUUAGCCCACAGGAUCAACAGCCUUGUCUGGCGCACAUAACUAAUGUCUACUGGUAGGCCAAUUAUCAAAAUGGAUAGAUAUGGAGUAAAUGUGAAUACCCUCCGGGGGGGGGGGGGUAUGUUUAUAAUGAUAUUGAUGAAAAAAAGAAAAAAACAUUAUACACCAUGUCAAGUUUCCCUUGCUAUGAUUCAACAUAAAUAGUAUGUAGCUACUUCUGAAAAAUAGGCUAU